GGGGAUUUAGCUCAGCAGUAGAGCGCUUGCCUAGGAAGCGCAAGGCCCUGGGUUCGAUCCCCAGCUCCG
rnacentral:tRNA from 1 species